CCUACGGGUGGCAGCAGUGAGGAAUAUUGGUCAAUGGACGAGAGUCUGAACCAGCCAAGUAGCGUGAAGGAUGACUGCCCUAUGGGUUGUAAACUUCUUUUAUAUGGGAGUAAAAUGUUCCACGUGUGGGAUUUUGUAUGUACCAUAUGAAUAAGGAUCGGCUAACUCCGUGCCAGCAGCCGCGGUAAUACGGAGGAUCCGAGCGUUAUCCGGAUUUAUUGGGUUUAAAGGGGGCGUAGGUGGAUUGUUAAGUCAGUUGUGAAAGUUUGCGGCUCAACCGUAAAAUUGCAGUUGAAACUGGCAGUCUUGAGUACAGUAGAGGUGGGCGGAAUUCGUGGUGUAGCGGUGAAAUGCGUAGAUAUCACGAAGAACUCCGAUUGCGAAGGCAGCUUACUGGACUGCAACUGACACUGAGGCUCGAAAGUGUGGGUAUCAAACAGGAUUAGAUACCCCGGUAGUC
rnacentral:rRNA from 1 species